GUGCAUCAACCCGCCGCUCUUCGAGGUGUAUCAGACGCUGCUCAGCCCCGCGCGGCGCCACGUGGCGCUGAUCGGCACCAAAGGGCUCUCGGCCGUGGAGCUGCCCAAACGCUGGGGCAAAAACUCCGAGUUCGAGGGCGGGAAGGCCGCGGUGAACUGCAGCACCAUCCCGGUCGCAGAACGGUUCUUCACCAGUUCCCCGUCCCUCACCCUGAAGCACGCGGCCUGGUACCCCUGCGAGACCCUGGAGCCCCACAUCGUGCUGCUGACUUCGGAUAACACCAUCAGGAUCUACAGCCUGAAGGUGCCCCAGACGCCCAUCAAGGUGAUCGCGCUCUCAGAUGCUGAGGAGGAGACUCUGAUCAUCAACAAAGGGUUUGUGAGGCUCCUUUUGAAAUG